rnacentral:rRNA from 1 species
AUUGAACGCUGGCGGCAUGCCUUACACAUGCAAGUCGAACGGUAACAGGUCUUCGGAUGCUGACGAGUGGCGAACGGGUGAGUAAUACAUCGGAACGUGCCCAGACGUGGGGGAUAACAAGGCGAAAGCUUUGCUAAUACCGCAUACGAUCUAAGGAUGAAAGCAGGGGACCGCAAGGCCUUGCGCGUUUGGAGCGGCCGAUGGCAGAUUAGGUAGUUGGUGGGAUAAAAGCUUACCAAGCCGACGAUCUGUAGCUGGUCUGAGAGGACGACCAGCCACACUGGGACUGAGACACGGCCCAGACUCCUACGGGAGGCAGCAGUGGGGAAUUUUGGACAAUGGGCGAAAGCCUGAUCCAGCAAUGCCGCGUGCAGGAUGAAGGCCUUCGGGUUGUAAACUGCUUUUGUACGGAACGAAAAGGCUCUGGCUAAUACCUGGGGCACAUGACGGUACCGUAAGAAUAAGCACCGGCUAACUACGUG